rnacentral:rRNA from 1 species
CGGGUGAGUAACGCGUGGGUAACCUGCCUCAUACAGGGGGAUAACAGUUAGAAAUGACUGCUAAUACCGCAUAGGCGCACAGCUUCGCAUGAAGCAGUGUGGAAAACCGAGGUGGUGUGGGAUGGGCCCGCGUCUGAUUAGCUGGUUGGCGGGGUAACGGCCCACCAAGGCGACGAUCAGUAGCCGGCCUGAGAGGGUGGACGGCCACAUUGGGACUGAGACACGGCCCAAACUCCUACGGGAGGCAGCAG